UCCUUCUAAGCUAAAUAUCACCACGAGACCGAUAGCGAACAAGUACCGUGAGGGAAAGUUGAAAAGCACUCUGAAUAGAGAGUCAAAAAGUACGUGAAACUGCCUAGGGCUCAAGCCCGUUGAACUCGAUUAUCCGAGCGGAGACAUUCACCUGCGGUUGGCCGCCCGCCGGCAGGCCGCAGGGCACUUGUCUCCCGCGUCACACGAGGACAUUGCGAUCCAUUACGAAACAGCUUCCGCGUCGCAAGACGCAAGGUCGCCCGACAGUUGCCCCUUGGUGCCGGUUGCUUGCCCCACAGUAGCGACGCUCAGUUCUGAAGGCCUGUGCCGCGAGGUGGGGCUUACUGCACGUGGUGGCAGUCGGGCGCGUGAUGGAUUUCCGCGCACACCGUCGGUCUUCCCGCAACGGGCCGGCGGACUGUCGAUCGGCAAUGAUAAAAUCGAGGUACCUCCGGGACCCGUCUUGAAACACGGACCAAGAAUUCACA
rnacentral:rRNA from 1 species